rnacentral:lncRNA from 10 species
CUUAAAGUAUAAUAAAAUUUUAAAAAUAAAAAUUAAAAAAUGUAUAUAUUAUCCCAACAUGCCAACUUUGCUGAGUUUUCCAAUCCCUUCUUGCACUGUAUUCUUUUCUAAUUCAGUUACCUCAACUGCUGGGAUUAAAGAAUUCUUUCUUAUCUAGUCCUAUGUUCCGCUUUGCUUGAUCAAGCAUCCUUAAAAUCCAAUCUCAUUGGUACUCCUCUGGCUCCUACUAAUACAUGCUAGUUAACUUUUGCAACUGCUUUGGGUAUAAUCUCCUUAUACUUUAACAUAUCCUGCAUGAAUUCAGCUGGGAUAUCUGAGGAUUAACUGUAGUUAUCAGCCUGGCAGCCAGGAGAACGGUGAGGACAUAUCCUAAAGAGAGCCUUCUGCUGACUCCUGAGGGAUAGGCCACUAUGUGGGGAAAGUGCUAGCAAUUAAUAGGGAGAGAUUAAAGGAGGGAGCAGCGGCACCUCUGCAGCUCUAAAUGUUUAGGGGAUUCUAGAGAGCCUCAAUAUUUGAGAGUAUUCAUUCAAAUGUCCCAUCUCAUGUUUUCCUAGGCUUUCCCUACUAGGGUGCUGAAUUUAGCAUUACAUAUUUGCCUUGGCAGAGCAUUCUACUAUCUUUGAAGUUCAAUAAACCUGUCAGAUCUUGAGUGGGCUCUUUAGCUGUGUUGCUCUUUGACUGCAAAAGACUGGUCCUCUUUAUAAACUACAGAAUAAGCCCCUUGGCUGUUAUAUUUAGCUUUCACUAUUUGUUAAGGACCUCCAUUGCUCAUUAUCCUUCUGUAGGGCAUCAGUAUAGCCAAUCGUUAGAUUUUGUUGUUUAUUUGUAAUUUAAUGUGUCGUUCCCUCCGUACUUUCAAAGGCCUGAAUCAUCACAUUGGCCAGAGUGUUCACCUCCAUGUUGACAUUCCCCUGUAGAGUGGAAUUAGGAUGAUGAUAUUUACCAUUAAAGUAUUUGUGCUUUUUAUUUUAUCAGUUCCACUGACUGUAACUAUAAAACUUAACAUAAAUGUAUAAAUGUGCUUGCCAUUAACCCAAAAGAAUACUAUUUUAUUCUACAUAGAGUAUCAUUGCAAAAUUUACUAAGGUUCCAUAAUAUUUUUUUAGUCCAAAGGGAUUUGAGUAGAUUUGGUUUCCAAAUUUAGAAAAAAGAAUCCAAAUGACUUGCUAAAACAAACUCGAGGAAUAAUGUAAGAGAUUCCCACAAACUACUAUGAGUCUCCUUCAGAUAAGUGCACACUAUCUGGAACCAUUCGGUCCUAAAUUUACCUGUGGUAUUUGUUCAUGUUUUAAUAACACUCUUGUCUGGAUAAAAGUCCUCCUCCUUUCCUUCCGUUUUUUUUAAUCUCUUCCACUUUUGAAUCUGUUGGUCAUUUCAGGUAAAUCAAACAUGGAUAUUUAAAUUGUUAAACUAUGUCAUGUGGGGUAAUUUGGGGGAGUGCAAAUUAAUAUUGAGCAUACUUGCUCAUUUUAAAAAAGCUGAGUACUUUCGUCAUUGUGUUAAUCCAUUUUGCAUUGCUCUAAAGAAAUAUCUGGCUAAUUUAUAAAGAAAAGAGGUUUAUUUGGCUCACAGUUCUGCAGACUGUACAAGAAGCAUGGUGCCAGCAUCUACUUCUGGUGAGGGCCUCAGGAGGCUUACAAUCAUGGUGGAAGGCAAAUGGCCAGCAGAUGUAUCACAAGAUGAGAGGGGGAGGAGAGAGAGAGAGAGAAGGUGCCAAUCUCUUUAAACAACCAGCUGUAAUAGUGACUAAUAGAGUGAGAACUCACUCACCACCGAGGGGAUGGCACCAAGCCAUUCAUGAGGGAUCCACCCCCAUGACCUAAACACCUCCCACUAGGCCCCACCUCUAACAGUGGGGAUCAGAUUUCAAUAUGAGAUUUGGAGGGGACACACAUCCAAACCAUAUCAGUCAUUUGCACUAUAUAUUUUUUCUCAUUUGGGUACAAUGGAACAAGUGGGAGACUGUUAUUUAAGAGAUCUUUCACUCAUCCACUUCAUUCAGCAAAUAUUUAUUGAACUCCUAUGUGUGCUAUGUGUUCUAUAUGCUCCAGAGGCAGACAGUGAAGAAAAUUAUGUCCCUGUCUUCAUAGGGCUUCCAUUUUGGUGUAAGGAGAGAGGCAAGACAAAAUUGCAAAGUACAUACAUGAAGUAUUACAUACUCAUGAGUGCUAAUGAAAAAAGCAAAGUAAGGUAAAGAUUGUGGACAUGCCAGGGAAGGGGGAGUUGCAAUUUUAAAUAAGCUAGAAAAGGAAAGCCUAACUUGGAAGCAAGGAACUGAAUUCUGAAGUUGAGGGAGGGAGUCAUGUAGGUAUCUAGGAAAAGGAAGAACCCUUUAGAAGGACUGACUUGAGAGCAUGGUAAUGUGAUCAAGUUUAGCAAAGAAGGUAGUGUAUCUGGAAAGAAGUGAGUAGGAGAAGGAGUGGUGUGAGAUGAGGCAGGAAGCUAUGCUGUUGGAUGCAGCUCACAUAAAACGUUGACAUCAGAUGAUAGGACCCUACAUUUUUCUGAGAGAUACGGGGAGCCAUUUCAGAGUUUUGAGCAAAGGUGUGGUAUAAUCUGACAUGUUUUAACAGGACAGUGCUGGCUGCUGGGUUGACAGUAGAUGGUAGGAGAACAAAAGGAGGAACAGGGACCCUCAUGAAGCGGCUACUGAAAUAGACCAGAUGUGGAAACUGAAGACACAGAGAUUAAGGGAUUUAUGGAAGGUGACACAGAGAUUAAGGGACUUAUGGAAGGUAACACAGCUUGGAGCACAGAUGCAUUUCAAACCCAGGAAGUCUGGUCCAAAAGGCCGGGAAAUAUCCAAAGCAUUUUUAAACAUCAGAAUUCUGAACCAGACGCAAGGAGUUGAGUAGAUACAUAUAUUUUAGGUUUUAUCACAGCCAUGAAUUUAGUAGAUGAAUGCUGGAGAAAUUCUGGAGUGUUUUACAAGAAAAAACAGAACAUUUUCCAUGGAUUUCCAGCUACCUCUGUUUUUGCACUUCAGCCCGAUAUCAGUCUCUUUAUCUGCCACUGAGGCACCCCAAAGGGCACCAGGCUACAAAAUACAUAAAUGAAUUAAAACAAAUGCAACAUUGAUGCCCCCCAGCUUCCACUGGGUUCUGACCUACAGUUUAUGAGGCUGAAACCAAACCCAUCCAGAACUUGCAUGAGAUCUGGCCACUCAUAAUAGAUAACUGUGGGACAACCCUACUGACCAAAUGGUCCUAAAGUAAGACUUUAGUCCAACAUUGGGGUGCUUUUUCAUGGAAUCUGUUAAGAUUUAUGUUGGCACUGCAGAGUCACAUCUGAGAAUUCUUCUGCACCAUUGUUUUCCUCUUUUGAUCACUAGGUAAUUUCCAUUUCUAUUAAAUUCAGAUUCAUCAAAGAGCAUGCAAUGAAUUGUUAAAAAGCAAUGUUCCUAACUGCUCUUCUUGCUAUUCUUACAUCCAACCAGGAGAGGGCAGUCAGAGUACAUUUUAGAGCCCACAGGCAGCUGCUGAUGGUGGGAAACUUCGAAAAGAUUUUCCAUUUUAAUAUGAGGUACCCUUGAGUCCCUUCUCCUCAGGGUAACGUGAAAACCCAAAUUUUAAAGCCAUAUAUAACAUGCUGUUCUAAAUAAUAGCAGAGAGCUAUGGCCCCUUUUAAGGCACCAGCCAAAGCUUAAUCAUUAAAAGCACAGAUGGCAAUAAAUGUAAUCAGAAUUAAAUUAAAAGCACAGAUCAAUAUAAUCAGAAUGCAAGUUUCCAUGAAGCAGGGGGUUGAGGGUGGAUCAGACUGAAAACAUCAGUGUCUUUCGUGUCCUUGAGACACUCACUGUGUUAUAAUUAAAAGUUAUUUUUCAACAUCUUGCCAUAUAUUUCUGUUAAUCAAAAUACAAUUUCGGAACAUGUAAACUGGGCUCCAUUUGCAAAACUUGGCUUCUUCUACUGAGGUUGGGCAUAGCUCUUUCACUUUUCACUAAAAAACCUUAGCAGUGAUUGAGUUAUUAAUAACAACAUGGGCUUAAGGCCAUCAGACAUUCCGUGCAAGGAGCAAAAGUAAAAGAAAGAAGGCUACAUCUUAUAGUAAACUUUCUAUUUUUGUCUUCGCCUUCUUGAUUGAAGUCACAGUUUUUCUCACAACCAGCUUUAUCAGGUGGUUCUUUAAAAGGAACACAGGGUUUAGAGCCAGGUAUAACUUGUUUUAUAGUUUGGCUCAGUGAAAAGAUUUGGGGCAAGUCUUAUAAUUUCUGGGUCAAUUUUUCCCCCAGCAAAAUGAUCAUUGCUCUGAUCUUACUGAGAAGUAAGAAUUGAAGCAGGAGAUGCUGCUGCUGUUUUUGUCAUUAUUUUGACCAAACUAGCCGGAUACUAACCAGUGACUUCCCUCCAAAGAGUAGCUAAGCCUUUACCUUCUUUGUUCUGGUAAUACAAAUAUAAGUCCAAUAAUUCUGACUUUUACCUAACAUGCCAGUUUUCAAUAUUAAAAGGUAAAAAUUCAACUUUGGGGGUUUUUGACCCCCCAGAUAGUCCUAUUUCUCAAAUUUCUUUCUUUAUAUAAAAUCUUCUUAUACAUACUUUCCUUCUCUUUAGGAAUGUGAAUACCAUAAAUAAUGAAAAACAAUAGCAAAAAAAAAAAUCUUCUCAUUACUAGUUGCAGUUGAUUCUAAGUAUGUGUAGCAGUUACCUCUUAGGAACCGAAUUAGGUUUUUUUAAAAAAAAUAAUAUUUUCAGCAAAUACCAUAAAUGUACCAAAAGUUAUUCUUAGGUUAUUUGCAUAUUGUCUUGCAUUUUAUAUGUGUAAAUUUAAUGCAGAAAUAAAAUUAUCAGUUUUAACAAAACACUUUCACAAACAUGAUUUGUUAUUUUACAACAGUCUUCUAAGGAAACAGAUAUUACUUUAUUCAUAUUCUACCAAGAAAUAAACUGAUGCUAAAGGAUCACACCGUUAGUUCUACACAGAUCUCAGAAGCCAGGUUUUCGGACUCCUAGUCCAGUACUCUUUAUACAGUAAUCAUUUUUACAACCCAAUUUCCAGAAAUUUAAAUCAGGGUGCAUUUAUAAGGAAUCAACAAGUAUACCAGCCUCCAUCCAUGUUCUUAGCAGGUACACCAGUGGCUGGGUGUGACAUCCUCUGACCACCCUUAAUACUACAAAGCAUAGUUUUAUAAUACACCAUCCCGCCCCAGAGGUAACCAAAGAUUUUUGCAAUUUCUUAUGUCAAAGGUGUAAUGGAGCUAGCCCAUGAGGGGACUCUCUAGCAGCUAAAAAGGCAGAUUGUUUGAUCUUCAGGAUAAUAACACCUUUGAGGGGAUGCUUAACUGUUGGUAGUCAAAGUGAAACCUAGCAAGACUAAGGACUAGAAAAGCAUGCCAUCAUUUGGAUAAGAACUGGAAUAAUUUAUUGCAAAGAACUUGGUUAUAGCCAUUUAUUUAUUUUUUCAGUAGGAAUGAUUGGCAUCUGUGUGUUGUUAGUAAACUCUUUAUUCUCAGAGAAUCCUAAACAAUAAUGAUAUUGGAAUACUGCACAGGCACUGCUAAUUAACAAGGAAUUUCUAAUGGGAGUGCCAGAAAGGGGUAAAAUGUAUUUUUAACAGUGUGUCACAAUAAUAUCAAGGGCUGACUAUGUCAGGACUGUGUGAUCAGGGCUUUUUAUAUAUUGUUUUAUUCAGUCUUCAUGACAAGCCUAUGAGAUAGGGACGGUCAUUAUUAAACCAGUACAGAUAAGAAAGCGAAGGCUCAAGGAGGUGCUCUUUGCAUGAGCCAAAGACUUUCACAUGGAGAUAAUGAGAGAAUGAGGUCACAGUGGAGGUGGAGAACAAAUUAUAACAGGCCUUGGGUGAUAAGCUAUAGGCUUAAUAUUUUAUUAUGCAACCUCUGGUGCAACACUGAAACCCUAAGGAUAUUUUAAUGGGAUUAUUCAAGGCUGCAAUGUGUAGGAGCAGAAUGAAGGAGGGGAGACAGAAGAGUCAGCAAGCUAGUGCUAUAUUCCAGACACGAAGAGAUGAAGGCCAGGGCAAGGACAGCAGGGAGAGGAAGGAAGGAUUCCCUUGGUGAUGGGACGCAUGGAGGUCAGGGUGAGUGUUUAAGAUUUAGAGGCUCAGAGAGUCAGGGCUUCACAUGCUGAUAUGGAAGGAGAAGAAAAAUCAAACAAAUUCAUAUUCAUCUAGAAGUUGCUUUUUAAAAAUCAACCUGUGAUGUUAAGCAGUGUAUUUUUUUCUCACAAAUGUAAAGUUUUAAAUGUGAUAAAACAAAUUAAAGGUCUUUAUAUCUAAAGUUGUGCUGGUCAUCAAAUAUUAUAAAUGUUCCAGGAUUCUAGGCACAUGGUAGGCUUGUCUUGCCUGGGGCCCAUGUAAUGAAUUGAGGCCAUAUGACCUCUAAGAUUAGAGAUUGUUUAUUACUGCUUAUAACUUUACUUAAUCUGAAUGACACGCUAGCAGUUUGAAUCACAAAAAUCAGAACAGCAUUUCUUAGCGUUAAUGAGCCAAUAUCCAAACUUUAGGGAAAUAAAAACAUAUUGAAUGCUUUAUGAGAGCCUUAAUAUGUGAGAAAGGGGAGUAUGUGCGUGUGCGUGUGUGUGUGUGUGUGUAUUCAUUUAUUCCUCCACUCAACAAAAGUUUAUUGACAAAAAUGGAUCCGACAUUAUUCUAAACAAUGAGGAUAUAAACUUUUUGGCCUCUGCUGACAUAAAACCAGCAAUCUUAUGAAAGAAAAUCAACAUUAUAAAGUAUUUAUAAUAGAAUUAUACACAGAGUGCUAUAGGUGUGCAGAGGAGGAUACUGAUUCCAGCUGGGCAUGAUCAGCUGGAAACUUCCUGGAGAAGCAGGUGUCUAAGCUGAGUCUGAAUCAUAAAUAUAAAUUAAUUAGUUAUUUGAGAGGAUAAGCUGUUUUAGAAAAUGAGGAUACCAUGUGCAAAGAAACA